GGAAACUCCUAAAACCACCGGGGCCCAGGAAGUUUUGGAAACAGAGGAGCUGAAAAUCUCAGAGCACUAAUCAAUAAAGUCUUCCAGGAAACAUGAAGGGGAGAAACAAUAGAGCGUACUUGCCUUAGAUGAUGGCUUGUUUACGACUGGGUCAGUUACCUUGGAUUGCAGAGGCCCGGCUUGGAUCGGCCCCACAUUGUGAACAUGGAGGUGCUGAGUUGUGCCUGUCAAAACAGCUGGCAGCUGAUCAGCGCGGCCGCUUAUCUCCACUCGAUCUUUUUCAUGCAGAAAUCUGACUCUGCUGAGCAAUGAUUCAUCCAAACAAUGAGCUCUGAGCGAGCCAGAGGUUUGCUCCUCCAUUAAAGAUGAGAUCCAAGCCUUUGUCUGAAAUCAGAAAACUAUACAGAGAGUGUACACUUAAAAAAAACACAGAAACUUCUGCACAAAGAUAGAUAGAUAGAUAGAUAGAUAGAUAGAUAGAUAGAUAGAUAGAUAGAUAGAUAGAUAGAUAGAUAGAUAGAUAGAUAGAUAGAUAGAUAGAUAGAUAGAUAGAUAGAUAGAUAGAUAGAUAGAUAGAUAGAUAGAUAGAUAGAUAGAUAGGAUGUGAAGAGAGUAGAAAGAAUGAAAGAGAUAAACAUUGAAAAAGAGAGAAAGAAAGAAACAAAUGAGAAAACAGAGUUUUAGGGACAUAAAAAGAUUUUAAAGGUAGCGGAAGAAAGAAAGAAUGGAAAAAAAGGUCAAAGGGAAGAAAGAAAGAAAAAAGGUAAAAAGAAAGAAAGGGAGAAAGAAGAAAGAAAGAAAGAAAGAAAGAAAGAAAGAAAGAAAGAGCCAAUUAAGAAAUAUAAAGGUUGAAAGACAGAAAAAAAGACUAAGCCAAUCAAGAGAUAUGAAGAAAGAAAGAAAGAAAGAAAGAUUGGGCCAAUUAAGAGAUAUAAAGGUAGAGGGUAAGAAAGGUAGAAAGAAAGAAAGAAAGAAAGAAAGAUUGAGCCAAUUAAGAGAUAUAAAGAAAGGUAGAAAGAUAGAAAGGCAUAAAAAUAUCAAAUGAAAAACAAAAGGAGGGAGAAAAGAAAAAAGUAUACAAAAAGAAUGAAAAAAAAGAGUAAAAAAUAAAAAAGAACAGUGAAAAGAAAAACAGAAAGAAAGAGUUAGAGACAUAAAGAGAUUAAACAAAAGACAAACAGAAAAAAAGAAACAAAAAACAGAAAGGCAGCAAAAAAAUAAAAGAGAAAAGUAAAACAGAGAGAGAGUUUAUGAAAAAAGAAAGCAUGGCAUCGAAAGAGACGACCACAAACUCAUCUUUAUUUUUCCAGGACUUGUUUCCACCUCACAACAUUUGAUCCUUAAUAAAAAUUAAUAACAUAACCCUGAGUUUAAUGUUCUCUUCACUUUA